CAUUGUGGGGCGGGAGAGGAGAGUCGCCGCUGAGCCAGAGCCGCCAUCUUGGCUGCGUCCGGAAUUGCUCCUGCUCCCGGGGCCUGUUCCUUCUCCUUGCGGCGCAAAGCGUUGGGAAGGGACAGGACGAGGGGCUUGCUCGAGGGGUGCUGAUGCGCGCAGAGCCUCCUCGCACCUCUCCCGGGCGCCGCUAGCGAAGGGGGCGGGGGUGGUCGACUGGUCGUCGGCGCGGCCUCUCCUCUCCGCCGGGAUGGGUCGGUCUCGCAGCCGGAGCUCGUCCCGCUCCAAGCACACCAAGAGCUCCAAGCACAACAAGAAGAACCGGAGCCGAUCGCGGUCUCGCUCCCGGGAAAAGGAGCGGGCGCGUAAGCGCUCCAAGUCCCGGGAAAGCAAGCGGAACCGGCGCCGGGAGUCCCGCUCCCGCUCGCGCUCCAACACGGCCCCUUCCUCCCGGCGCGACCGGGACCGGGACCGCGACCGCGCCUCCUCCCCCCCCGAUCGCAUCGACAUCUUUGGGCGCACGGUGAGCAAGCGCAGCAGCCUGGACGAGAAGCAGAAGCGGGAGGAGGAGGAGAAAAAAGCGGAGUUCGAGCGGCAGCGGAAAAUUCGUCAACAAGAAAUUGAAGAGAAACUCAUAGAGGAAGAAACUGCUCGAAGAGUGGAAGAACUUGUGGCUAAACGUGUAGAAGAAGAGUUGGAGAAAAGAAAGGAUGAGAUUGAGCGAGAGGUUCUCCGCAGGGUGGAGGAGGCUAAGCGCAUCAUGGAAAAACAGUUGCUCGAAGAACUCGAGCGACAGCGACAAGCUGAACUUGCAGCACAAAAAGCCAGAGAGGUAACGCUCGGUCGUUUGGAAAGUAGAGACAGUCCAUGGCAAAACUUUCAGUGUUGGUUUGUGCCUCCUGUUCGGUUCAGAAAGAGAUGGAAUACAGCAAAUCUAAUUCCCUUCUCAUAUAAACUUGCAUUGCUGCGAAACUUAAUUUCUAGCCUAUUCAGAGGAGCUCACUGAUAUUUAAACAGUUAUUCUCCUAAAACCUGAACAAGGAUACUUGAUUUUUAAUGGAACUGACCUACAUAUUUCAGAAUUGUUUGAAACUUUUGCCAUGGCUGCAGGAUUUAUCAGCAGUCCUUUCAUUUUUGGGGAAGGGUAUUGAAAAACUUGUAAUUAUGUAUCCUUCAUUUGUUUCAUUUUGUUUACCUAGACUGUAAGAGGCUUUUGCCUUCAGUCAGGCAAAAAGCAGGGUCCAGCAGUGAUCUGCAGUACCUGUCUUUAACAAAUAGGUUUCUUAUUCUUCAUUUUAAAAUGAACGUUUUCCUUGAGCAUACAUUGGACUAAUUCUGGGACUUCGAGCAUAAGCCCAUUCACGUCUUCAUGAAGGAUCUCUGUCCAAAUCAUUAUACCCAUUCUUAAUAACUACUAACAACUCCUUUUUUUCUCCCUAGAAGUUAUAAAAGAGCAGGUUGCCCUUGUCUGAAGUCAAGCUGAACGUGUGACUUGGGUUUUUGGGUUUUUGGAUUUUUUUGUUUUGUUUUGUUUUUUUAAUCAGCAGCUGGAGCAGAAGCUGAAAAUGUCUUUCUGUGAGACAGUAAUUUGCUACUAAAGGCUUUGAUGCCUGCCUGCACCAAUCAUUCCAGGAUCCAAAAGUUUCAAAACAAACUUCAAACUGUAAAGGAAAUCUGUGCUAAAUAGUCAUAAGUGUUGAAUGCUUUUUUCACUCUAUACCUCCUACACAGUUUAUUUUAAAUUAAUAUUUUGAUUGGCUUACAGAAGGAGAGACAGUAGCAAUGCAGCUUUCCCCUUCAUACUAAAUGUGACUUGUCAGUUACAUAAUAUCAUUUAAUUAAAUGAAAAAAUGGAAUGCUGAGUUACAGUAAAUACUAAAAAUAUUAAAUUAUACUUUUUUUGCAAAUUCAGACUUCAAUAUGAAAGAGUUUACAUUGAAUUUACAUGUUCAUCGUCAGAAAAUUCUUCAUAUAUAGAGGUUUUCAUUUGAUCAGAUGGAUGACUCUUUUUAAAAAGUAUUUUUGCUAUUGUCAAUAUCAUGUGGAGAAGUCUCAUCAGUUCUUUAUAACACAUAAUAAACCUCCGUGCCUGGAGUGAAGUGUGCUAGCUAGUAGCUCGUUACUAGUCAUAGUAAGAAGUUUUCAUAUGCUUGCUUUGUUCGUAUUAACUUUUUUUUCUUACACAGACACAAACCUCUGGCUAACUUUAAAUCCUCCAAAUAUUAAAAUAAUUCGGAUAUAUAUUAUGUGAACUGAAACACCUCAAAAACUUUCACGCAGUCUUCAUAUUUGAGUUGCAUAACAGAGUUCCAUAAAAUUCACCAAGAAAACAACAAUUACAAGGCUUUAUUUCCUGAUCUUGCCUUCCCUGGACUCCUGAAUUCCAAGUUCAUACUGCAAACGACAGUUUCAGCUGUCUUAAAAUUGUCAAAAUACUGAAUGUUAAGUCCAUUCUCCCCAUGAAAGAAGCCCAUAGCUCCAUGAAGUAUGGAUUACCAUU